rnacentral:rRNA from 1 species
ACCUACGGGAGGCAGCAGUGAGGAAUAUUGGUCAAUGGGAGAGAUCCUGAACCAGCCAAGCCGCGUGAGGGAAGACGGCCCUAUGGGUUGUAAACCUCUUUUGUCGGAGAACAAAACCCGGGACGUGUCCCGGACUGCGUGUAUCCGACGAAAAAGCAUCGGCUAACUCCGUGCCAGCAGCCGCGGUAAUACGGAGGGUGCGAGCGUUAUCCGGAUUUAUUGGGUUUAAAGGGUGCGUAGGCGGUCCGUUAAGUCAGCGGUAAAAUGUCGGGGCUCAACCCCGACGAGCCGUUGAAGCUGGCAGA